CUAAUUAAAACUUGAUUAAUUUCACAUAAACACAAACGCUUCACAUUCACAUUCACAUACAAACGCUUCAAAUUGGCUAAAAGAGGAGUCAUUGUUGUUUCUACCUUUGCUUCUCCAUAUCUGAACUGAAUCAGAGAGCUUUAUCAUGACGAGGAUGGAGAGCCGACGACAUGCAAUCAGACCGGGAGCCAUCUCUCGAGCUAGACCUUUGCUGAAUUGUGGGGGAGGAGGAGCCUGUUUCGUAGGUUUUACCUUUGGUUUCCUAUAUCUAUAUUUCACAUGUUUGGCUAUUUCUAAUUUUCAUAUGAAUUUAUAUUCUCAUUUUCGAAUAUCUAUAUGAUUUCCCAAGUUGUUCAACUAACUGUUACCAUAUGGUUUACAAGUCUGUGAAUGGUAAUGCUAUAAACCUGACUGAUAAAAGUGACCAUGUUGUAAACUUGGCUGAAAAAAGUGACCAUGCUAAAGUGAAGGAGACUUUUGAGGUUGUUUAACAAACAUUAUCUUCAUUUUGUUCAGUUAGAGGAAGCAAGAUGCAGAAAAGAAGAAGUGGAAAGAAAGCUUCCAAAAAUUCAAAAUCCAAGUUGAAGGAAGCAAGAUACAAAAAAGAAGAAGUGGAUAAGAAAGCUUCCAAAAAGUCAAAAUCCAAGGUUAGCAUGAACUUUAACUGUUUGUAUUUGAUAUUGGUUUGAGAUUUUUUUUAAUUUUAUUAAAUCUUGGUUACUUACAGUUGAUUUAUGAGUUGAAAUGAUAGUAAGCUAAAAAAUUAUUAUUGGUUGAAGGGGAAAGGUGUGUACCCUUCUAAAUUAUCAAGAGUACAUGGUAAGACAUAAAAAUCUUCCCCAGGUUUUACUUUUGGAUUCCUAUAUCUAUAUUUCACAUGUUUGAUUAUUUCUAAUUUUCAUAUGAAUUUUAUUCUCAUUUUCGAAUAUCUAUAUGAUUUCGCAAGCUAUUCAACUAACUGUUACCAUACGGUUUACAAGUCUGUAAAUGAUAAUGCUGUAAACCUAGCUGAUAAAAGUGACCAUGCUAAAGUGAAGCUUUGCUUCAUUGUCUGUAUUUAGCUAGCAUGGAAUCAUAUAAGUUCUUCAAAUACCACAUUCUUUAUCUGA